CUGACAUUGAGGUGGAUAUAUUUGUUCCUUUAGUUCUUGCCCUAAUAUAAGGUAAAUGCUCAGAGUAAACUGCCAGAUAUCUACUGAACCAACCGGUAUCAGGUCCCUGCCUAAGAUAACAAGGGCAUCCUUCAAAGGGGGAAGUGGGAGGGCCAAGGAUAUCCCUUAUAACAGCCCUCCCCAUGGUCCAUCUCCCUCUAGCACAAACACCAAUUGAGCUGGUUUGGGGGAAAGAAUAAAAUAUCAAGGUCUUCUGAAUCAGCACACCAAUCAGCCCAAGCAAAAAAGAAUGACAUAGAGCCUUUAUUAAACUGGUUCUGAGGUAUGUGGGACUAGCCUGGCUGGCUGACCAGGCUUCUUGAGCCCCACAGGCCUCUUUCACAGAAAGGGAGUUUGGAUCAACAAGACCAUGUACAAAAGGGGGAUAAUAUACCUACGUGAGGAGCCAAGUUUCCAUGUUGAUGGUAAAUGGAAAAACUUUUGAGUCAGAGCUGAGCUCUGGGACAAAAAGGGAAAAGAAGAGGGAUGAAGGGAAGGGGCCCAAUUCCUCUUGACUGAUUCUAAAGCUCAUAGGGGGAUUCCAACUCACAGCUAGCCCUCUGUACUAAGGAACCAGACGAAUCUUGACCUCCCAGGGAACCUAGACCUGGGAAGGCUGAACUUGCUAUUUGAGGGUCAAGUCUACUCCCUGAAGGUGGAGUGCUGGAUAUUUUGAUGGGGACAAGGAGGGACAAUAGAUCAACCUCAGCAAAGGCUGGUAAGCCUGGGCAAGGUUCCACAGGGAUGGAUCUUCCUAAGGGGUGGGGGGGCUUCCCAGUUCCUAGAAAAUGGCGGUGCGCGCAGACUGCCUCCCUCCUCUUCAUUGUAGCUUGAUCCUGCGCAGUGACCGUUCCUAUAAAAGAAAAAAAAAAAUCAGAAGAAACUUGAUACAUAGGAAGACAAAACAGCAGAGAAAUAAGACAAAGUUAAAAUCACAAAAUGUAAUUGGCAGCACAUCUGUUUUCCAAAGAUAUUUACAUAAUUACUCCCAUUCUCACAAGAAUUCUGGAUUAGGGCAUUAUGAUUGUGUCACUUUCCAGUUGAGCGGGCAUGCCCACAAAGGGUAAAGUGUCUUUCCCAUGAUCACACAGCUUAGAUGGAAGACUUGGGACUUGACAAGGGGAACUUCUGACCCCAGAUCUGGGUUCCACCAGCCCCAACCCUUCAUCAGUUACCAUAGGGAGGGAAGGGAGAAAUGGGAGCGAGGCGGCAGCGAGCCCAGGAGGAAAAUACCCACACGGAAAGAGUCAGGCCUGGGAGGGGCCGGACCGGGGCACAAAUGCUGGAGGUUUCAGAGAUGGGCUGGCGCUGGCGAAGGCAGGUCUGCCAGUGACGUAUUUGUCCUGUGGGUCCUGGGCUCUUUCGUGGCACGCAGGGCACUCUCCUUCCUGGGAUGGGAGAAUGGAAUUCUUCUUCCGUGAGAGAGAAAAUACGGAGGUGAAGAAGAGCAGAAUGGGCGAGUACCAGACUGCAGCUGCAGCCAAGCCAGGGAAGAGGCUAAAGAGGGUCCUCGGCGGCUCCCGCAGGACAUUCCCUCCCCAGCCGGUCGGGAAGCUCCACACCUAGGCGAGGACGGGCAGCAGCGGCCCUGGGAAGGCUUCCGUGGAAACUUCCAAAACCACCUUGCCAGGCAACCAACACAAAAGGCCUGGACCAGGUGGUGGAGAUGCUGG
rnacentral:lncRNA from 10 species